rnacentral:lncRNA from 1 species
GGAGGUAUCAGAACCCGGGUUGUCUUCUGGAGGUAUCAGAACCCAGGUUGUCUUCUGGAGGUAUCAGAACACGGGUUGUCUUCUGGAGGUAUCAGAACCCAGGUUGUCUUCUGGAGGUAUCAGAACCCAGGUUGUCUUCUGGAGGUAUCAGAACACGGGUUGUCUUCUGGAGGUAUCAGAACCCAGGUUGGUUGUCUUCUGGAGGUAUCAGAACCCAGGUUGGUUGUCUUCUGGAGGUAUCAGAACCCAGGUUGGUUGUCUUCUGGAGGUAUCAGGCCUCAGGUUGGUUGUGUUCUGGGGCCAUCAGGCCUCAGGUUGGUUGUCUUCUGGAGGUAUCAGGCCUCAGGUUGUCUUCUGGAGGUAUCAGGCCUCAGGUUGUCUUCUGGAGGUAUCAGGCCUCAGGUUGUCUUCUGGAGGUAUCAGGCCUCAGGUUUUCUUCUGGAGGCAUCAGGCCUCAGGUUGGUUGUCUUCUGGAGGUAUCAGGCCUCAGGUUGGUUGUCUUCUGGAGGUAUCAGGCCUCAGCUUGGUUGUCUUCUGGAAGUAUCAGGCCUCCGGUUGGUUGUCUUCUGGAGGUACAUAUCAGGCCUCAGGUUGUCUUCUGGAAGUAUCAGGCCUCAGAUUGUCUUCUGGAGGUACAGUAUCAGGCCUCAGGUUGUCUUCUGGAAGUAUCAGGCCUCAGGUUGGUUGUCUUCUGGAGGUAUCAGGCCUCAGGUUGGUUGUCUUCUGGAGGUAUCAGGCCUCAGGUUGUCUUCUGGAGGUACAGUAUCAGGCCUCAGGUUGGUUGUCUUCUGGAAGUAUCAGGCCUCAGGUUGGUUGUCUUCUGGAGGUAUCAGGCCUCAGCUUGGUUGUCUUCUGGAAGUAUCAGGCCUCAGGUUGGUUGUCUUCUGGAGGUACAGUAUCAGGCCUCAGGGCAAAGUGAUAUGGGAUACCUGACAGAAUGACAAAUUGAGGAAAGAUCAGAGGCUUGUCACUAAGACCACAUUAAACACACAUGGAACUCCAAAAUAUGUUUUCACAGUAACGUGUAGGCUCCUCCUGUUUUCUGUUGAAGCCAGUUGCUCAGUUUCAGGUCACAGCCAAUGUCAGUGACAGGUGAGCAACAUUUGAGCUUGUUUGAUCUACAGUGUAUUGGCAUAUGUGUUUGGGGGGUUAUAGCAAGCAGAUGAUUGAUAGUUGUCGUUGUAGUGUGUGG